GCGAAGGUGGCGGAAUUGGAAGACGCGCUAGCUUCAGGUGUUAGUGACCUUACGGACGUGGGGGUUCAAGUCCCCCCCCUCGCACCA
rnacentral:tRNA from 1 species